AAAUAUCAAGUGUAACAGGUUAAUUAUUCACCUUCAUUUAUACAAUAACAAAACCUACGAGCAUAUCCUUUUCGGUUCCCAGCUUGUCGCUUUUGCCUCUUCAUAAAAACAAAAGUACAAAUCAUUAUUACAAAAGAACGAGUCCUAAGAAACGUGGUUUGAAACCCAACCCAUGGGGGCUGGAGAGUUAACACCCAGAAAGGGGAGGUUUGGUUUCCUCUCCCAGAGACAGCAGGAAAAAACCACCCACAACCCUCCUCCUCCUCCUGCCCCCUAAAGCAUCGGCGGCCACUCAGUGGCCGUCGAUGCUUUAGGGGGCAGGAGGAGGGUUGUGCAUGGGAGGGAAAGAGGGAGGAAAAGAGGAAUGAAGGAGGGAAGGAUGUGCACAGGAGGGAGGGUUAGCGAAGAAAGGGGGAAUGGAGGAGGGAGGUACGGAGGAGGCAAGCCGGAGGGGCAGGCAGGAGAGGAAGAGAAGAAAGGGGGCAUAAGAGGAAGCAGCACGGAUGGGCGGAGGGGCAGCGAGAGAAGAGAGGGCAUUUACAUAGGUUGUGUUUGGACAGAGAGAGAUGAGAGGCCAGCAGCUGCAAACAGCAGAGACAGUAAUGACAUGGUGGCUUCACAAAACUCAGCUUUGAAGAGUUUGGUGAUGGCCUAGUGUUACUGAUCUGAGAGUGCCUGGACCAGAGCCACAGUGGAAAUCUUGUACUUGGCAAGCAAGCUCCUUCAGCAUUGUUCCAUGUGAUCCCAAGUGAACCAAGCAAGAGGUAUUUGACCUACUUGGAUUCUGUGGAAAAUAUCUAUUGACAACACUGUGGGAGCUCAAGCAGUGAUUUCUUCUUCAGUAUCCUCUCUUUGAAAAUGCAUCAACCUGGGGAACCUCAGACAGCACAGGAUUGGAUUCAGAAUCCUGCCUUCAGGAAGACCAGUGGUAAAAAUGAGUGUUUCAGUUAUGAUUGCCAUGGUCCUAACUUCUCCAGGCCUGAAAGACAAAGCUCCCCUUCCUUGUGCUGCAUUCCAUUGGACCUGCUUCUCACUUACCUAGUGUUCUCCUAGGAUUUUCUCAUGUCAUUACUGUGUUGCAGUUACUAUGAGAAAGCAGGUAUGUCUCAAGCACUGAAUCAAACACUUAUUCUGAACAAGAUUUAUGUGGCUCUAGACAGGGCCCAUGCACCCUGCUACCAUGUCAGCUCUGACUGCUAUUGGAUGACAUUGUAUUAGACAUUGUGAAAGUGAGGUUUUUUCUUAGGAGGGGAAAGUGAAAUCUAUCUGACAUUACUCAAGACAUCAGACUUUCUUUUUUGUCACAGUAACAAGUGAUAGCUGCAAUCCAGGAUGUCAGCAUAUCCAAGGACACAGUGUGGAAAUUGACUUCAGGACAUUCACUGAUGAGCUUCCCCUACUAGGUCAAAAAUGUGUUUUUCCAACACCGAGAAUCAUGUCAUCUAGCAUAGAGAAGAUCUGCAUAUCUUAAGGGGGUGAUAUUUCUCUUCUCUACACUAUUCUAUGGUCAGUCUAUCACAAGUUUGAAAACUAAAAUCAAGUCUUGCCUGAAGUAUGUUUGAACCUGGGGAAUUACUUGGUUCUAGAUGUCAUUGCUGUGAUGUAUUGUUGGCUCCUCUCCUCCUGUCCCAAGAUUCUGCCAGGUGUAAGUCUCUGCAGAUAUCUUGCCUUCUCCUUUCCCCCGAGCUAGAGAGCCCCUGUUGGCUAAGUAUGUGACAUACCCUACCAUCAGUGCUAGAUUAAAUAGGGAAGGAAAAACCUUGAGGUGUAGUUCCUUCUGAUUAGGAGAUAGAUACUCUUAAAUAUGUAAUAUAUAUAUAU